AGCACUGCAUUAUUCAUUUAGAGAGACACUAAAGAGAAAAAAGAUUUUAUCUGUAUUUAUUGACAAAAUUUCAUUCUACAAUGCCGAAAAUGCCACUCUUGCUCCAAGAAGAGUUUCUGCACCAAAAAAUGUGCACAAAGAAAAAAUAGGUGGUGACGUUGCCUUGAAGUUCGCGCACCAGCUUGCCAUAACAUCGUAAAUUUUGACACUGUUAGCUAGGGUCUAGCUAAUUUAUCAGUAAACGUGGAAUACAUUCUUCUCUAAAGGAGCCAAACGCUAGAGAUCCCCAGUUGGUCAAAAUUAAUUUGGAGUCCUCCAGUACGGUGUGCCUAGUAAUCAUAUCGUCAUUUUGGCAUGUGAAACCACAAAAUUUAAUUUACGGUAUUUUACCGAUUUUCAGGUACCCUGGCCGUCUGUAUGAUACAGCUGCGAGGGAGCUUGUUCAGCGCUAUCCUCAGCUAAGAGAUGGCUUUGGUGAUGGACAUAUGUCAUGGCAGACAGCAUUAAGGUAGAAGGGAAAAAACACGCGCAAGAAAUUGCCUGCAGGCAUUAAAGAAGUGGAUGAGCUGCGGGAAAAAGUGAAAAGGCGCAAAGCUUCAAGCACGUGCGAGGAAGACAGCAAUACUAAAACGGCCAAGGUCCAUGUAAGAAAGUCUUCUUUCUGGAACGGUGCUUUCAAUGAUGGGGAAGACGAGAAGAGCACUGAAGCACAUAUUGACAUAAUGAAGAAGGAGAUGCGCGUGGCCGGUGGGAAUGCAGACAAGAUCCGAGAGUCUAUGCAUAAGACUUUUCGCAAGCGUAGGACUUUCAUAGAAGUGGAAAAGCCAGCCGUCACAGAUUUGCUCCAGAUAUACCCAGCAUUGAGUCUUGAAAGAGAGCUGCUGAACGAGUUCCAUCGGCUGACAGGUGUGAAUGCAAAAGAAAGAAUAAAUGCGUUUGUG